rnacentral:rRNA from 1 species
GCACGCCCCAAGAUGAGAUCUCCCGAGAGCUUGACUCUCCUUAAGGCACCAUCAAGACUAGGUGGUUGAUAGGUCAGGUGUGGAAGCGCAGCAAUGCGUUCAGCUAACUGAUACUAAUGAGCCGUGAGGCUUGACCAU